rnacentral:rRNA from 1 species
UGGGGAAUUUUGGACAAUGGGCGAAAGCCUGAUCCAAGCAAUGCCGCGUGUGUGAAGAAGGCCUUCGGGUUGUAAAGCACUUUUUGUCCGGAAAGAAAUCCUUGGCUCUAAUACAGUCGGGGGAUGACGGUACCGGAAGAAUAAGCACCGGCUAACUACGUGCCAGCAGCCGCGGUAAUACGUAGGGUGCAAGCGUUAAUCGGAAUUACUGGGCGUAAAGCGUGCGCAGGCGGUUUGCUAAGACCGAUGUGAAAUCCCCGGGCUCAACCUGGGAACUGCAUUGGUGACUGGCAGGCUAGAGUAUGGCAGAGGGGGGUAGAAUUCCACGUGUAGCAGUGAAAUGCGUAGAGAUGUGGAGGAAUACCGAUGGCGAAGGCAGCCCCCUGGGCC